UACAGAGGCCUCGAGCGUUAGGCGGAAUCACUGGGCUUAAAGCGUGUGUAGGCGGACUUCUAAGUGCCUUGUGAAAUCCCACGGCUCACCCGUGGAACUGCUGGGCAUACUGGGAGUCUUGAGCCACCUAGGGGCGAGCGGAACAAAUGGUGGAGCGGUGAAAUGCGUAGAUAUCAUUUGGAACGCCAACGGAGAAAUCAGCUCGCUGGGGGUGCGCUGACGCUGAGACACGAAAGCCAGGGGAGCGAACGGG
rnacentral:rRNA from 1 species